rnacentral:rRNA from 1 species
ACAAGGAUUCCCCUAGUAACUGCGAGUGAAGCGGGAAAAGCUCAAAUUUAAAAUCUGUCAGUCUUUUUGGCUGUCCGAGUUGUAAUCUAGAGAAGUGUUAUCCGCGCUGGACCGUGUACAAGUCUCCUGGAAUGGAGCGUCGUAGAGGGUGAGAAUCCCGUCUUUGACACGGACUGCCAGGGCUUUGUGAUGCGCUCUCAAAGAGUCGAGUUGUUUGGGAAUGCAGCUCAAAAUGGGUGGUAAAUUCCAUCUAAAGCUAAAUAUUGGCGAGAGACCGAUAGCGAACAAGUACCGUGAGGGAAAGAUGAAAAGAACUUUGGAAAGAGAGUUAAACAGUACGUGAAAUUGCUGAAAGGGAAACGCUUGAAGUCAGUCGCGUUGACCAGGGAUCAACCCUUGCUUUUGCUGGGUGUACUUUCUGGUUGACGGGUCAGCAUCAAUUUUGACCAUUGGAAAAAGAUUAGGGGAAUGUGGCAUCUUCGGAUGUGUUAUAGCCUCUGGUUGCAUACAAUGGUUGAGAUUGAGGAACUCAGCACGCCGCAAGGCCGGGUUUUUAACCACGUACGUGCUUAGGAUGUUGGCAUAAUGGCUUUAAUCGACCCGUCUUGAAACACGGACCAAGGAGUCUAACAUACCUGCGAGUGUUUGGGUGGAAAACCCGAGCGCGUAAUGAAAGUGAAAGUUGAGAUCCCUGUCGUGGGGAGCAUCGACGCCCGGACCAGACCUUUUGUGACGGUUCCGCGGUAGAGCAUGUAUGUUGGGACCCGAAAGAUGGUGAACUAUGCCUGAAUAGGGUGAAGCCAGAGGAAACUCUGGUGGAGGCUCGUAGCGAUUCUGACGUGCAAAUCGAUCGUCAAAUUUGGGUAUAGGGGCGAAAGACUAAUCGA